CGGACGGGUGAGUAAUGUCUGGGAAACUGCCCGAUGGAGGGGGAUAACUACUGGAAACGGUAGCUAAUACCGCAUAACGUCGCAAGACCAAAGAGGGGGACCUUCGGGCCUCUUGCCAUCGGAUGUGCCCAGAUGGGAUUAGCUAGUAGGUGGGGUAACGGCUCACCUAGGCGACGAUCCCUAGCUGGUCUGAGAGGAUGACCAGCCACACUGGAACUGAGACACGAUCCAG
rnacentral:rRNA from 1 species